rnacentral:rRNA from 1 species
AUGAACGCUGGCGGCGUGCCUAAUACCUGCAAGUCGAGCGAACAGAUGAGGAGCUUGCUCCUCUGACGUUAGCGGCGGACGGGUGAGUAACACGUGGAUAACCUACCUAUAAGACUGGGAUAACUUCGGGAAACCGGAGCUAAUACCGGAUAAUAUAUUGAACCGCAUGGUUCAAUAGUGAAAGACGGUUUUGCUGGCACUUAUAGAUGGAUCCGCGCCGCAUUAGCUAGGUGGUAAGGUAACGGCUUACCAAGGCAACGAUGCGUAGCCGACCUGAGAGGGUGGUCGGCCACACUGGAACUGAGACACGGUCCAGACUCCUACGGGAGGCAGCAGUAGGGAAUCUUCCGCAAUGGGCGAAAGCCUGACGGAGCAACGCCGCGUGAGUGAUGAAGGUCUUCGGAUCGUAAAACUCUGUUAUUAGGGAAGAACAAAUGUGUAAGUAACUAUGCACGUCUUGACGGUACCUAAUCAGAAAGCCACGGCUAACUACGUG